GGGUAGCAUCCGAAAGCUGAGAUGUUAACUGAUACAAUCUUCCUACAUAAAAACUCUGUAAUUUCCUGCUUGUGGUUCUAGAGCAUGUUCUGCGAGUCUCAAAUUACAAGAUACAUGA